rnacentral:rRNA from 1 species
GCCUAACACAUGCAAGUCGAACGGAACUUUUUUAAUUGAUUUCUUCGGAAUGAUUUUGAUUAAGUUUAGUGGCGGACGGGUGAGUAACGCGUGAGUAACCUGCCUCUGAGAGGGGAAUAACAUUCUGAAAGGAAUGCUAAUACCGCAUAAUAUAUAUUUAUCGAAUGGUAGAUAUAUCAAAGAUUUAUCGCUCAGAGAUGGACUCGCGUCCGAUUAGUUAGUUGGUGAGGUAACGGCUCACCAAGACCACGAUCGGUAGCCGGACUGAGAGGUUGAACGGCCACAUUGGGACUGAGACACGGCCCAGACUCCUACGGGAGGCAGCAGUGGGGGAUAUUGCGCAAUGGGGGAAACCCUGACGCAGCAACGCCGCGUGAAGGAUGAAGGUCUUCGGAUUGUGAACUUCUUUUAUUAAGGACGAAUAAAGUGACGGUACUUAAUGAAUAAGCUCCGGCUAACUACGUGCCAGCAGCCGCGGUAA